UAACAGAUAAAUAAUAAAUACAUAAAGACUCCAUUUGUUUCGGCUUAGAAAAUUUUACGGUAAAAUCAGAUUUUCCUUUUGUUUGUUUUUCAAUUUGAAAAUUUUUCAUUUGGUCAAAUUUUACCAAAGAGCUACCCUUCUCCGAAAAAUGGGCUGGAAAUUUAACCCUAAUAUUUGUUGGUAAAACCAACUUGGAAAAUCUAUCGUGAACACAGUCGCUUCCUCAUCUCCUUCGUCUCUCUUUCCCACCGAUCAUCUGUAGCCUCAUCCUUCUCUCCUCCCUCUGUCGCCGUUCAUCUCAUAACCGAUCUCAUUCAUCUCAAAGCUGGAGCAGCCGGCGGGUUGAAGGGCGAUAUCUGGAGCUAUUCGGACUGAAGCCUCUGUCUUCUUUCCAUUUCCUCCCGGAUCUUAACGACUAAAGUACGUAUGUUGACUAUUACAGCUCGGUUUUCAGGUAUUAUUAAAAAAACAGACUUAUUAAUAUGUUGUUCUUGUUUCGUAACAGAUUUUGUAGAGUAUUUGAAGUAAUUGAAGUCUCUGGAUUCAUAGACACAUUAGAAUCAAUUUCAAACUCUGAACACAAGUUUAACUUUAUCUUUAGCGACAUACCCAAACUGAAAAUCACACAUAUAACUAUUAACAUACAUAAUUCAAUCAUGAGUAGAACAGAUUGGAGAGUGGUAUGAGCAGAAGAGUUGUGGCAGCGAGCAACAUUGAGCUCUCCUUGAUUUCCAACUUUUCUCCGCUACUCCGUGAAUACAAAAGGCCCAUGUUAGUUUUCAGUGGCAAUGCAACCCCUGGAGAAGCUGAAAGCCAUUAAACAAAAGCAUUAGAAUUAAGUAAAUUUCUACCAUAAGAUAUCAACUAAUUAAUUAGUGGCAUUUUGAUAUUGGAUCAUGUUGUACAUAUGAAAAUAUUUGAAGAUAAAAAGAUCAGAUUUGAUCAUAUUCCUACAGUUGAAGAAUUGGAGGGGGUCCCUGGUGAAACUUGAGACUCAGGUGCUCUGGGACUUGGGGGCUCAACAAACCCUUCAACAUGGGCGACAAGAAUUCAAAUCAUCAAAAUGUGGAACCCUUCAAAUGAUAUAUCUUAGGCUUUUUAUAUUUGUAGUAAACAAUUAAUGGAAAUUGGUGUGAGAUGGUACUUAGGCAGAUGGAGUAGUUGAGUUGAAGGUUGCAGAGAGGUGGCAGUUCCAGUGCAAGUGUCUUGUUGAUGGGGAAGGCACUCAAGGCAGUGUCAUUGAGCAAGAGACAGAGGCAAUUGGGUUGUUCAAGGUAGAGAUCAUGGAGGUUAUCACAGCAAAUUUGAAGAGGGGAAGAAUCAUUCCUUUUCCUUUUGGUGAACUUGUUGCUAUUGACAGUUUAAUUAUGAUAUCAUAUUGUUCAAUCAGGUUCUACCUUACAACUGUCUAUGAUUUCAAAUUAUGAAUCUGAUCUCAUAUCAUUUGAUUCCUAUUAUUACUAGAAUUGCUGGUUUUCUUACUUUUAUUCUCUGUUUUCUAGUUUCCAUCAGUAGAUGAUGUUUUGUAUAAUACCUCAGAUUAUUGUUUAGUUCUACUCUAUUUUCUAUUAACUUUAGCUACUGAAUCGAGUGAGUUUAUUUACUGACCAUAAAUCACUCAGUUACUAACAUCAGUUCUUGUUUUUAGAAGUCCUAUUUCAAGUAGGAUUCUUCUGAAACUAGAGAUCAGACCCUUGGAUCAAGUUCAACUUUUAAAAUUUUGUUCCUAUAAUUGAUUCAAAUCUGAGAUCCAGAUUACUGUUUAUCACUUAUUCUUAAUUCUUGUCAAUAAUGAUUCAUUGGGCUUCUGGUUUCCAACUGAGUUUCUGAACCUAAUCCUUUCUAUAAAUCUUAAUUAUAACAACAAAAGCAAUAUGAACUCAUUAUCUAUCAAUUUUUGCUCUGUUCAUGGGUUGUUUUUCUUCUUGAUUCUCUAUUUGUUUAUUGAUUCUAGUUUUCCAAGGGCCCAAUGGGUCCCACACACCACAUUCCCACUUUAUUUCACAGUACUCUCAAGUGUCUGGGGAGGAUCCAUGGAAUUCAUUAUACAUCUCCUUGUUUUCCAUGGAAUUUUGUAUGCUACUGUUGGUGUGUUCUCGUAAUGGAUAAUUGAUGAAUGACAUUGAGAUUUUUUCUAUUUGAUUUUUAAAACUUUUGGAAUCUAUGUACUCAAGACAUUUAUUUCCAUCUGUAUGAAAUUUUUAGUUAGUUAAUGUUUGAUUUGAUAAAUUAUUGGAUGGAGUUCUUUUCUCUUCUUUUGUCUUGAUUGAUGGGUUUUUUUUUUUUUUUAACUGACAAGAUCUUACUAUCUUUGUAGUGGCAUAUUUGUUUGCAAACAAAGCGAUCAUGUUAUUAUUACUCACCAUGUUUUGUGACUUGUAAUUUUGACAAACUAGGAUGGAUAAUGAUCAAGUGAGGGAGGUUUCUAAGAGUAAAGGAAAAAAACCUGCAAGGACGAAAGGUCAAUAGUUACGUUGGACAGAGACAAUGGACAAUGCUUUCAUUGAUCUCCUUGUUGAAGAAGCAGCGAAAGGGAAUAAAUGUGACAAGACUUUCACAAGCCCAUCAGUUACCUUUGUUUCUCGGGCAUUAACCACACAGUUUGGUAGAGAUAUCACAGCAGAAAAUAUGAGAAACAAAACAUGUGCUCAAUAUGUCCCUCUAUCAUCAACAUGGUCAUUAUCAUUAAUUAACAUUUAUUGGAUCUGCCAUGGAUGUAUAUUUCUUCUAUUCAUUACCUUCUUUUUGCGUGCACGCUACUAGCUUCAGUACUGCCUAUUAGAUAGAAAAUCUCAGUGUUUCUGUUAUAUUUUGUUCUGAA